UACGGAGGGUGCAAGUGUUAAUCGGAAUUAUUGGGCGUAAAGAGCUCGUAGGCGGUUUGUCGCGUCUGCUGUGAAAUCCUCAGGCUCAACCUGGGGCUUGCAGUGGGUACGGGCAGACUAGAGUGCGGUAGGGGUGACUGGAAUUCCUGGUGUAGCGGUGGAAUGCGCAGAUAUCAGGAGGAACACCAAUGGCGAAGGCAGGUCUCUGGGCCACAACUGACGCUGAGGAGCGAAAGCGUGGGGAGCGAGCAGG
rnacentral:rRNA from 1 species